UAUUUAAGCUUGUAACAUCAUUUGGCGAAGUUCACUUUGCGGUUCUUGAUUAUCAAUUCCAGUAUGAAGCUCGUCGUACUGAUUUUCAUGUUCGUGCUGCUUGCCCUGGCCGGACACGUGAGUGCUAAGCAACCGGAUUCCUUUUUUCCUUGUUUCGAUAAAAAUGGCUUCUUGGUUGAGUGUCAUCCAGGAGGAAUAACAAGGCAUGAAUAAAACAUGACAUAUUGUAUUGUUCACAGCUAAAAAUUAAACACGAUAUUGAAGUUUUUUAUUGUUUUUUAAUAUGAACGAAAGUUUCCAAAUCAAUACUAACGUUAUUAAACAAGUUUGUGUGAGAACCUUUUAGUAAUAAAAAAACACCGGAACAGCGAUUAAUAAAAAAUUAAACAAUUUUGCAAGCAGUAUAAAUCAAAUGAGGUCAUGCGAUAAUCUAUACCAAAUCUUAACUGCAUAGUUUUUAAUGUAAUCAUUAUCCACACACCAAGUAUUGGUGUAAACAACAUCGUUACGACGUUCCAAUUCAUUUGACUAAUUGAGAAAACAAACAAUCCUGUAUCAAAUUACCUCACUCGAUAAACCUAGAUUUCAGCCCACAAUAAUACUUUAAAAGUGGUUUCCACUAAGUGGCUGUUCAUUAUCGCGGAAUAUUAUACAGGAUGAAGUUCUUCGUGCAGGUUUUUCUUUUCGCGCUGCUCGCUUUGCUCGGGCUCGUGAGUGCCGGAAAAAUGGCUAUAAAUCCGGCAACCACAACCACCGCAAGACCAAUUUUCUUUCCAUGUUUUGAUGAAGACGGCAUCUUUAUCGGAUGUACGCCGCAUCCGUAACAGAAUAAAUGAAAUAAUGAAUUGAAUUUGACUUUAAACUAGCAACUACAACUACAAAAUUGAAAUCAAAUCGCAAAGCUCACACUUGUAACAGUUAUUAUGAUAAAUUCUGAAAUAAACAACCAUAUAAAUAUGUUACCAUACAUGCUAACUGCAACCAAUUCCAUCCAUGUUCAACAUUUCUAGAACAUGUAGCAAGUGAGAUUCCACAUCAGCACGCUAAUAUAUAAGCUGUUCUUUCGUCCCUGUAACGUUUAAAUCUUAUACUAACCCUGUUUCAAUCGAAACCCAUUGUAAAAAAGAACACCGAAACAUGAAAUUCCUUGCCACCAUAAUUCUCUUUGCAUUUAUUGCACUGCUCGGACAGGGAUCCGCCGAACCAUCUCGCAAUGAUAUUUCCGUUUAUGAAAAAUUGUGCCAAACCUUUGGGCUGGAGAAGGACUGCUGGACUACUGCCAACCCACCAACGAAAAGGCCUCUUGCUGACAUUAAACAAGAAACCAAAGAGAACAAAGAUUUGAUGCGUUGAACAGCUCACAACUGUAACCAAAACGUUGCAAAAUAAACCUCACAUUUAUUCAACUGUAAA